rnacentral:rRNA from 1 species
AAAUUGAUGUGAAUACAGAAGAGGGGGUAGCGACUGUUUAUUAAAAACACAAGACUUUGCUAAAUUGGAAAAAUGACGUAUAAGGUCUGACAUCUGCCCAGUGGUGGGUAAUGAAAGUGACAGGAAUUUAAUUCUUGAAACAUAAGUCCCAUUCAACGGCGGCUGUAACCCUAACGGUCCUAAGGUAGCGAAAUUCCUUGUCAAAUAAGUAUUGACCUGCAUGAGUGAUGUAACGACUUCCCCACUGUCUCCAGAAUAGGUUCAGUGAAAUUGCAAUUUCCGUGAAGAUGCGGAAUAAUUAUGGCUAGACGGAGAGACCCUGUGCACCUUAACUAUAAUUUUAUAUCGCUAGAUAGAAUUGAUUGUGUAGUAUAGCUGUGAGUUUAUGAUCCCUUUUUAUAGGUUAGACAUCAGUGAAAUAGCAGUCUUUCAAAUCUUGAUAGCUAACUUUUU